AGUUUUAAAAUCCACAUCAAUUCUACUUGAGAACAUUUUCCUGUGAAACCAUUUAUGCCUGCAGAUUUCUUUUGGGGGACAUUUUAAAAUUAUAAUAGGUAAAGGAGCCAAAAAACCAGGACCAGAUCAAGACUACAACAAGACUUUAUUACAGGGAGGAUCUUCUGGGCAGUCUCCUAACAAAUGAAAAGCAGCAUGGAGGAACAGGGAGCUUUUAUAGGAGCAGGGUAGGGUUAACCUGAGCUGGGUGGAGUUGAGAGGUAGCAUUAAGGGAUUGGAAGAGCCUGUGACAUCACUAGGAGGGGCUUGUGACUGGGAGGUAGCAAGUAUUAGGUUACUGUUAUGGUGGGAAGAGAGGCAUGAUGGGAGGAAGGCUGUCCCUUGGUAGGAGAAGCCAUAUUUAACAUGGAGGCUGCUAGUCCAUGUGGCAGCCAUUUUAAGGUGCAGAGCAUUAUGGGAAGGAGGCUACUGUUUUAUGUAGCCGCCAUUUUUGAGGGCUUUCUGUAGUGUAGAAAAGGAGAAACAUCAGAAUCUACCUUCCUUUUCCUAUGGUAGGACUCACUGGCAAGUUACUUCCCAAGAGGGUAAGUACACAUUUUUGGGAUCUGUCUCCUUCACAUUUCACC
rnacentral:lncRNA from 1 species